CCUGUAUGUUUUGAUGUCAUAAAUACCUCUCUGAAUAUCCAGAAUUCAUGAAGGAAAGGAGCAACGUCACCACCUUUUUGCGUCCCUCAAACAGAGUCAACCAAAUCAGGUGCCCCUUCCUUUGUGUCAGCGCCUGUCUGCAAUUUCCUGACACUACAGCAGUUCCAGUAGAACUGUGGUGGAAAGUU